rnacentral:rRNA from 1 species
GACGAACCGUGCGAACGUUGUUCGGAAUCACUGGGCUUAAAGGGCGCGUAGGCGGUCGAUCCAGUCGGGGGUGAAAUCUUGCGGCUUAACCGUAAAAGUGCCUUCGAUACUGAUCGACUCGAGGGAGGUAGGGGCAGGUGGAACUUCCAGUGGAGCGGUGAAAUGUGUUGAUAUUGGAAGGAACGCCGGUGGCGAAAGCGACCUGCUGGAUCUCUUCUGACGCUGAGGCGCGAAAGCUAGGGGAGCAAACGGG